UCGAGCGGACAGAUGGGAGCUUGCUCCCUGAUGUUAGCGGCGGACGGGUGAGUAACACGUGGGUAACCUGCCUGUAAGACUGGGAUAACUCCGGGAAACCGGGGCUAAUACCGGAUGGUUGUCUGAACCGCAUGGUUCAGACAUAAAAGGUGGCUUCGGCUACCACUUACAGAUGGACCCGCGGCGCAUUAGCUAGUUGGUGAGGUAACGGCUCACCAAGGCGACGAUGCGUAGCCGACCUGAGAGGGUGAUCGGCCACACUGGGACUGAGACACGGCCCAGACUCCUACGGGAGGCAGCAGUAGGGAAUCUUCCGCAAUGGACGAAAGUCUGACGGAGCAACGCCGCGUGAGUGAUGAAGGUUUUCGGAUCGUAAAGCUCUGUUGUUAGGGAAGAACAAGUGCCGUUCAAAUA
rnacentral:rRNA from 1 species